rnacentral:rRNA from 1 species
GAUGAACGCUGGCGGCGUGCUUAACACAUGCAAGUCGAACGGGAAACCUUUUAAUGAAGCUUCGGCAGAUUUAGCUGGUUUCUAGUGGCGGACGGGUGAGUAACGCGUGGGUAACCUGCCUUAUACAGGGGGAUAACAGUCAGAAAUGACUGCUAAUACCGCAUAAGCGCACAGGACCGCAUGGUCCGGUGUGAAAAACUCCGGUGGUAUAAGAUGGACCCGCGUUGGAUUAGCUUGUUGGUGGGGUAACGGCUCACCAAGGCGACGAUCCAUAGCCGGCCUGAGAGGGUGAACGGCCACAUUGGGACUGAGACACGGCCCAGACUCCUACGGGAGGCAGCAGUGGGGAAUAUUGCACAAUGGGGGAAACCCUGAUGCAGCGACGCCGCGUGAAGGAAGAAGUAUCUCGGUAUGUAAACUUCUAUCAGCAGGGAAGAUAGUGACGGUACCUGACAAAGAAGCCCCGGCUAACUACGUG